rnacentral:lncRNA from 1 species
GGCAGCAUACAGUAGCUGAUAUGAAGCCCCAGACACAAUAGAGCAGAGAACUGCCUCGUAUGGCCUCAGUGGGAGAUGUGCCUAGACUUCAAGGGACUUGAUACCCCAAGGAGGAGAACUGUAGGGACAGAAGUGGAGAAGAGACUGAAGGAAAAUCCAAUCAUUGACCAACCCAACCUUGGAUCCAUCUUAUGGGUAGGCACCAUGGUUAUG